rfam:Triticum aestivum genome assembly, contig: Triticum_aestivum_CS42_TGACv1_scaffold_640717_T_5DL-0.179852_1DL-0.150334
AUUGUACUCCCUCCGUCCCAAAAUUCUUGUCUUAGAUUUGUCUAAAUACGGAUGUAUCUAAUACUAAAACGUGACUUGAUACAUCUGUAUCUAGACAAAUGUAAGACAAGAAUUUUGGGACUAAGGGAGUAUUAU